GUGCUUGCUUCGGCAGCACAUAUACUAAAAUUGGAACGAUACAGAGAAGAUUAGCAUGGUCCCUCUCUCUAAGACUACAUAAAAAUAAAACUUAAGGAAUCAAAUUCC